rnacentral:rRNA from 1 species
CAGUCGCCGCGGGAAUACGAGGGGGGCAAGCGUUGUUCGGAAUUAUUGGGCGUAAAGGGUGCGUAGGCGGUUUGGCAAGUUUGGUGUGAAAUCUUCGGGCUCAACUCGAAGUCUGCAUCGAAAACUGCCUGGCUUGAACGUCGGAGAGGUGAGUGGAAUUCCGAGUGUAGAGGUGAAAUUCGUAGAUAUUCGCAGGAACACCAGUGGCGAAGGCGGCUAACUGGUCCAUAACUGACGCUGAGGUGCGAAAGCGUGGGGAGCAAACAGGAUUAGAUACCCCCGUAGUCCCUGUCUCUUAUAC